rnacentral:rRNA from 1 species
UACGAAGGGUGCUAGCGUUAAUCGGAAUUACUGGGCGUAAAGAGCGCGUAGGCGGUAUUGUUUGUCGUGUGUGAAAGCCCCGAGCUUAACUUGGGAAUUGCGCACGAAACGGCAGUACUAGUGUCAACUAGGGGGUGACGGAAUUUCCUGUGUAGCAGUAAAAUGCUUAGAGAUUGGAAGGAACACCGGUAGCGAAGGCUGUCACCUGGGGUUGUACAGACGCUGUGGCGCGAAAGCGUGGGGAGCAAACAGG